GAUGAACGCUGGCGGCGUGCCUAAUACAUGCAAGUCGAACGAAGUCUUCGGACUUAGUGGCGAACGGGUGAGUAACACGUUGGUACCUACCCCGAAGUGGGGAAUAACUGCCCGAAAAGGUGGCUAAUACCGCAUAAUACCGCAAGGUUAAAGCAGUAAUGCGCUUCGGGAGGGGCCUGCGUCCCAUUAGCUAGUUGGUAGGGUAAUGACCUACCAAGGCGACGAUGGGUAGCUGGAUCGAGAGGUUGACCAGCCACACUGGGACUGAGAUACGGCCCAGACUCCUACGGGAGGCAGCAGUAAGGAAUCUUCCACAAUGGACGAAAGUCUGAUGGAGCAACGCCGCGCGCAGGAUGACGGCCUUCGGGUUGUAAACUGCUUUUAUACGGGAAGAUUAUGACGGUACCGUAUGAAUAAGGACCGGCUAACUACGUGCAAGCCGCCGCCGUAA
rnacentral:rRNA from 1 species